rnacentral:sRNA from 1 species
UUUUCAGUUUAAUGUUAGUUUUGAAUCUAUUUAGAUAUUAACAAGACCGAAAUAGCAUGUUCUGCAAUUUAAUUUGUAUUGGGUAGAUUUCUGAAUUUGACAUGUACUGAUUUGAUGAUGCAUCUGGAAAUUGUUAAUUUGGAGUUGUUCUGCCCAUUAUUUCUGUUUAGCAGUUUUUUUGCAACAUAUUCAAAUCCGAGAUGAAUAUGUUUUAUUGUUUGUUUUACUCUUUUAGUUACUUAGCAACUAUACCAAAAUUACAGUGCACUUACAUGCUAAAUCAAAUGUAUUUACAAAUGUAACUUUAGUAAUAUAGCACUGCAAUUUUAUACUAUCAGAGUUAUUAUAUGUCAUAUCAACUAAACUUACAAAUGCAAUUUUAGUUAUAUACAACUGUAAUUUUCUUAAAUUAUAUGUUCUUUGUAUCUGAUUAGUGCAAUUUAAAGAUGUGUGCAUGAUUGUUUCAUAUUCCUUUAAGAAGCUAUGUAUUGUGCAUGAUGUAUUUCUGUUGAAUGUAAUUGUUUCAAAAUGCUUAAUAUGUGCCUGAUGUAUAGCCUCAUAGCUUCAAUUGAAGGAAGAUUAGCAUUGAUUGAUUUGUGCCUGAUCUGUGCCCUAUCAUGUUGAAUGUAAUUUAUGUAUAUGCUUUACUGUUGAUCGAGACUUUAUGAAAUUAUGAUGAGUUAGCAUGUUUAAGUUAUCAAAAUUCACAGUGCAUUUGUACUAAAAUUACAGUGCACUUACAUGCCAUAUAUAUUGUUUAUACAAAAGUAAUUUUAGUUAUAAAGCACUGUAAUUUUUACAAUCAAUGUAUGAGUGUAGGUGGUUUUUAGUUUCUGAACUUUUUAUUAUGUUUCUGACUUAGUAUUCUAGUUCAAGGUAUUUAUGUAUUUGUAUACUUUGAGGUAUGAAUGGAUUUUGCUUAUGGACGUUGCUUGUUCAGUGUUUUGUCUGUUUUGAUGUUUGGGCCAGAUUUGCAGCCAUGUUGUAUCUGUUUAUUAGUCUGCGUUGGCCCAAUCAUAUUUUGGCCUUUUUUUUUUGCCUGUCUAUUUUUUUUAAGUCCAUUGGAUGCAAAUCUAAGGGGAUAAAAAAAUCUAGGUGAUUGUUUCCUCAAAAAUCACACGACAGAUGCAUAGGCAGUUCCUACACAGUUUGUAUUUUAAUAUUAUGAGAAAUAGUGUAAGUGGAAAUACAAUUUAAAAAUAAUUUAAAUUUAUAUUAAAUAUAUAUUAUAGAAUAAGAGUUCAGGCAAGAGUUCAAUUUGGAAAUAUUUGAAAUUCAGAUAAAAACUAAAUAUAAGAGAUAGAGUCGAUGUAGAAAAAUAAAAUGUUGACGUAUCUUAAAUUAAGGUUGAAAAUAAAUAUUGUUCGGAAAUAAGUUCAUAAGAAGUAAAAUUUAUACUAGAAAAAAAAUCCAAUUUAAUGAAUAAUUUUUGAAAUGUACGAAAUUUGCAAUAAAAAAUUAAUUGGAUCAAAAGAAGAGUCUAUUUAGAAGUAGAAUUUAGAAAAAUCUUAAAGUUAUAUUAAAAAUUUAAAAAUUAUUAAUAUUGAGAUAAGGAAACAUCUAUAAAUACAAUUUACGGUUAUAUAAUUUAGUUUUAAUAAUAAAAAAUAUUUAAUAUUGAGAAAAGAGUCCAUCUAGAAAUAAAAUUUAGAAGCUUUUAAAACUUUGGAUUAAAAAUAAAUAUUAUGGAGAAACGAGUUAAUGCAAGAGUAUAUUCUAGAUUUAGAUUAAAAGUAAAUAAUAUGAAGAGAAAGAGUCCACGCAGAUAUGGAAUCUAGAAUUAUCUUAAAUUCAGGUUGAAAUAAGAAAAUAAAUAGUAUUGAGAAAAGAUUGUAUGUAGAGUACAAUUUAAAAAAAUAAUAAUCUCAAUAAAAAUAAAUAAUAUUGACAGAAGAUUUCAUACCUAUGAGAUGAAAAGUAGCUAGAAAUCCUCACAUUAAUUUAAAAUUCUUAGAAUUCACAUAUCAAUGAAAGAAAAAGAAAUAGCUUGAUGGCCCAAUUUAAAUAAAAAAUACACUAACAAAUGA